ACAAUGCGGAACAAUGUUUUGCAAUUGGAUUGAGAACAACGUACAAACCUUAUCGAUAAACAAUUGGAGGGCAAGUCUGGUGCCAGCAGCCGCGGUAAUUCCAGCUCCAAUAGCGUAUAUUAACGUUGUUGCAGUUAAAAAGCUCGUAGUUGAAAUGAAGGGUAGUUGUGUAAUGAAUACAUUCGUGUAUUUUGUUAUUCAACUACCCUCCUUCUAAAUUCGAUAUAUGAGUAUUAAUUUACUUGUAUAUGGUUUUAGACCUUUACUGUGAGAAAAUUAGAGUGUUCAAAGCAGGCAUUUGCUUGAAUAUAUUAGCAUGGAAUAAUCAUGUAUGAUUUUCAUGAUGUAUUUGAUUGGUUUGGUUCAUGAGAAUAAGAUUAAAAGGGACAGUUGGGGGUAUUCAUAUUCAAUAGUCAGAGGUGAAAUUCUCGGAUUUAUGGAA
rnacentral:rRNA from 1 species